UGAACUUGAUCCUGCUUCUUUACCUCUUAAUCCAGACGACAUUUGGUACCCUGAGAAACUGAAUAAAGACAGCGGAAAUCCAAAGUCUGAACUGGAGAAUGUGACAACACCUAAGAAGUUAGUGGAAUUGAAAGGAACAGGUGCUACUGAUGGAGAGUCAUCUAAGGUUCGAAGAUCUCCCAGGGGUGUGAAUAUAUCCAUGACUAGAAAAUCAUAGACAUGACAGAUUCUUUCUUCUGCUUUGCUUGCUCAGUGAACAUUUUGUUUGGUCAGACUCGUGGAUUUUGUCAUCAGUUUAACUUCUAGGGAUACCAGUAGGAUUAAUAGAACAAUUGUCGCUGGCCUGAACUCUCUUUUGACGGCAGUAUGUGUUCCUGCAACUUUUAUUGCUAGUAUAUGUCCUUUGUGUAGUUUUUGCUGAAUCAAUGGUAUUUUCAGAUCCUUUCAUGACAGAUGGAUCAAGG
rnacentral:misc_RNA from 1 species